UAGGGAAUCUUCCGCAAUGGACGCAAGUCUGACGGAGCAACGCCGCGUGAGUGAAGAAGGAUUUCGGUUUGUAAAACUCUGUUGUUAGAGAAGAACAGCGCAUAGAGUAACUGUUAUGCGUGUGACGGUAUCUAACCAGAAAGCCACGGCUAACUACGUGCCAGCAGCCGCGGUAAUACGUAGGUGGCAAGCGUUGUCCGGAUUUAUUGGGCGUAAAGCGAGCGCAGGCGGUUAGAUAGGUCUGAAGUUAAAGGCAGUGGCUCAACCAUUGUAGGCUUUGGAGACUGUUUGACUUGAGUGCAGAAGGGGAGAGUGGAAUUCCAUGUGUAGCGGUGAAAUGCGUAGAUAUGAGGAGGAACACCGGUGGCGAAAGCGGCUCUCUGGUCUGUAACUGACGCUGAGGCUCGAAAGCGUGGGGAGCGAACAGG
rnacentral:rRNA from 1 species